GCUGUCUUAGCUCAACAGGUAGAGCGCAUGGCUUUUAGUCAUGAGGUUGUGGGUUCAACUCCCACAGACAGUG